GUCCUAUUGGCUUAGUGGUAGAGUAUCUGACUACGAUUCGCAUAAUCGCGGCAUCAGGGGGUCGUGGGUUCGAUCCCCACAUAGGAUU